rnacentral:tRNA from 1 species
ACUUUUAAAGGAUAGAAGUCAUCCAAUGGCUUUAGGCGCCAAAAAUCCUUGGUGCAAGUCCAAGUAAAAGUU